CAGCAGAUGUCUAAUUUCUGCCAAACUUCAGAAAAGGUUCUGAAGACUUUUCAACACAGGUAUUUGCAUAGGAGAAAAUCUGUGGAGCAUUUUGGGGGGGGGGGGAAGCAAAGAGGUUUUUUAAAAAAAUAUCAUCACCCAUCUACACACCCCAAAAAUAAAAGAGAAAAAGACAGGGCUGAGAGCUCCUUAGAGCUCUUUUUAUUAUAAAAACUUCAUGAUUCUAUAACAUGGCAAAAUAAAGUUCAAUUUUCUUCUAAAUAUGAAACACAUUGUAAUGAACAAUAUGGUAACUAGUUCUCUAAUCAAACUGAUAAAAUGGUUGCCCUCCUUUCAAGUAGAUAUAAUUCCUUAUAUCUCACUAAUCAACAUGAACAUCUUUGAGCUUCAAGUAUAAAAUUAAGAUUAUGUGAAACAAAAUAAGAAAAAAGUGAUAGGGGUGUGUGGGUUCUAUACCACGGUGAAGGAAUUAGGAAUACAACUGGGAAAAGAAAUUAGACCUUGUGCAAAAUUCCUUAGGCUGUCAUCCUUAGGCUGUCAUUCCUUAGGCUGUCAUAGGUUAAUGUGGGUCAAAAAAAUAAAAUUUGAAACCGUCAUGCUUCAUUAGGGGGGCCUCUGUGGGGUUAAGUAUUUGUGAGUGUCCAAAAUUUGAGACUCUCCAAACAUACAAGCCUGUGAUGUCAUUUAACAUGAAAAAAACUACAGCCCCCCUAAACUAUAUAUAUCUUACUUACUUGCAAAAGACCAUAGAAGUCAGUGUGAUCCCCAAAUCUUCAUUCUGUCCAAGCAAUUGGUAAGUACAUACCAUUUUAUUUUUUUCUUUCCUCUAUUCAAAGCAGAAUUGUGUAGAACUUCUCAGUACAAACUUUUGUAAUGUAUGUCCCACUUUUCCCCCCUAUUCACAGACUACAAAAUAUGGACCCUAAUCUGAAUAAUGAAUCAGAUUACAAUAAUUCUCAAUUAGAAGAACUGAAGGCUUUUUGCCAAGGCUAUGAGGAUGCCACAACCAACUGUUCUACACAGCCUCCAAGGACUGGUGAUGAGGACUUCAUUCCAUUAAUCACAAACAAUGAUCAAAUUUUCAAUCCUGAUUUGGUCAUUGUUAAAGCGGAAACACACACACCCUCACCACACCCUAGAAAGGCUACUGAGAGAAAAAAACCGUCAUCUUCUACUACUACUGCUGCUGCUGCUGCUACAGAGAUAGUUACGCCUCUGAUGAUGAUGACAUCUCACCACCUCCAAAAUGAUUCAAGAGGGCAAAACCAGAGAUCCAACCACCUAUUCCACCCGUGAUCAUAAAACUUGGAAAGACAACACAAGAUAUGCAACCCUUUGGUACUAAUUUAGUGAGGACUGUAGGCAGCACCCAAGCAGCUCCAAAACAAGCCAGUAAAGGUCAAUCCUCACGGAUGAAAUCACUCCAAAGGCAUAACACUGAUGAUGAUGAUGGAACAACAACACCUCAAAGCUCAAUGCUUCUGAAUGUGUUGCAAGUCUGCGCAGCUAUGCAGAGCGGGUCGCGAAGAUUGCAGAUUGCUAUGAGAUGAUAGAUAAUAAGCUCAAAUCUGUUGCUAAAUGUAAAGUGGCCUUGGACAAAUAUUGUAAUGGCUUAGUGGGUGGGCUAUCUGGAUUGGGUGAACUGCAGGACAAUAUUAAAAAAGAGUGCAAGUAUUCAUGAUGUGUUAAUGUUAUACAAACGGGUAGAGGUGGGGGCAGGAAACCAAUACCCCCCAGGUUAAGAAGCCGAUAUCUAUAUAGACGCAUUAAAAUGAUUAAAAAGUGGCAAAAGGCCAUGUCUAAACACUCAAAUAAAAGGGCAAAUGUUUCACAACACCCUCUUGCACAAGCAGAGACCUUAGACGCUCCUGCUGAUGCUGGUCUCCAACAACACCCUCCUGUACAAGCAGAAGCUCCUGCUGAUGCUGGUCUCCAACAACACCCUCCAGUACAAGCAGAAGCAGUAGAAGCUCCUGCUGAUGCUGGUCUCCAACAACACCCCCCUGUAUCACCCCCGGCCG